GGCCUGUGUACAUUGAAGCUAAUCAGCCUGUUCAACUUGUUUUUGGUUUAGGUUGUGAACUCCACGGGUGGUGAUGGAUGUCUCCUGUUCCAGGAAGUGCCAGAUUCAGUGAAACACUUUGAUAAGUGUAGAUCAUCAAGCAGAAUAUAUAGAAAUCUAACUGAUAUCAGAGCAUAAAAUGGACCUGGCCUGAACACUGACAUUCCAAAUGGAAGGAAAAAGAAGAGAGUUGGAGAAACCAAUGCAGACCAUACCCACCUCGGUCACACGUGGAACAGCUCUGAUGAGGUCUUCUUGGGAUGCUACAGCAUUAUUUUGGGACUGGCGAGGAAGAGAACCUUUUACAAUGGUGCAAAAAGAAUCUGAGGGAAGAGGCAACAGGAAAGUGCACAGCUGUAUUGAAGAGUUUUGAAAAGAGGAACAAGAGCUUAAGUCAUGAGAGCGAGAAAGGAAGUGCCUAACUUGGAUGGCUUUAGGUGAGAAGAUACUGGAGACGGGCUAUUUUUAUGGUAUUGAUGGCACUAAUGAACCAUACAGCACUUCUGUUAUGACGUACUUCUGCUGGUUUGUUCUAGCUGAGGAUCUUCUUUGAUGUCCUCUACACACAGAGAGAUUCUGUGCUUGACAAAGCAUAGCAGCAUAUAACAGGAUAAGCAGAAACGCUUGUAUUUAUUCAAAAUUAAUGAAUUCAUAGACGAAACACUUGACAGCACACACAUCAGAUUUGAAGGCCUCCUUGAGGGCCUUAAAAAAAAAAAAAAGGAAAGGAAGAAAAGUCUACUUACCAGAAUACAUGCUGAUUACUGAAUGAGCAACUCUGUAUUAUGUCCGAGUCAUUCCUCAAUAUGUCAGAAAUCCAUGUCACCAUCCUUUAUUUUUAUAAAAUUCUGACAGCUGCCUUAAUAAAUCUCUGCUCUAUAGCA
rnacentral:lncRNA from 1 species